AGCAGCCGCGGUAAUUCCAGCUCCCUUAGCGUAUAUUAAAGUUGUUGCAGUUAAAAAGCUCGUAGUUGAAUUUCGGGGUUAGUAAGUUGGUCAUGCCAUUGGUAUGCACUGGCUUUACUGAUUCCUCCUUCUUGACGAACCGUGAUGUCAUUAAUUUGGUGUUGCGGGAAAUCAGGACUGUUACUUUGAAAAAAUUAGAGUGUUUAAAGCAGGCUAACGCUUGAAUACAUUAGCAUGGAAUAAUGAAAUAGGACGUUAAUCCUAUUUUGUUGGUUUCUAGGAUAGACGUAAUGAUUAAUAGGGAUAGUUGGGGGCAUUAGUAUUCAAUUGUCAGAGGUGAAAUUCUUGGAUUUAUUGAAGACUAACUACUGCGAAAGCAUUUGCCAAGGAUGUUUUCAUUAAUCAAGAACGAAAGUUAGGGGAUCGAAGACGAUCAGAUACCGUCGUAGUCUUAACCAUAAACUAUGCCGACUAGGGAUCGGANGAUGUUAAUUCCUUA
rnacentral:rRNA from 1 species